AUAGACAGUCAGCUUCUGUAUUGGAAACCACACCCACAUCUCUGCAGUAUCUGCAGCAAGAAUAAGGGCAUCCUCUGAGACCCAUAGGGCAACAUAGAAACUUGACAGCAGCUGCCUGCAGAAUGCACAUAAGAUUUCACUCUCUUACCCAGGCUGGAGUGCAGCAGUGUGAUCUCGGUUCACUGCAACCUGAGCUUCCUGAAUUCAAGUGAUUCUCAGCCUCCUGAGUAGCUGGGAUUACAGGAACCAAUGAAGCUUCAUCCACACAAAUCAGAAACAUAGAAGACAACAUCAGCUCUGCCCUCCACCUCAACCCUGUUCCCUCCACCCAAUCAGAAAAUAACUUAUUGAAGCCCUCCCUUAAUCUGUUUCUACCACCCCUGUCUCUCUGAGGUUUCAUAUUUUCUAACUUGGAGAGUACAGUAGUGUUCUCUCAUCUAACCUUCAAAAUCAUGACUUCUUUCCCUCUAAAACAAAUUUUACCUUGUUACUUUCAUUUAAGUUAAUUUACCAAGUCAGUUGUCUUUAAGAUAUUCACAGCAUGCCAGGCACAGUGACUCAUGCCUGUAAUCCCAACACUUUGGGAGGCUGAGGUGGGCAGAUUACGAGUCUAGGAGUUUGAGACCAGCCUGGCCAACAUGGUGAAACUCUAUCUCUUCAGAAAAUAAAAAAAAUUAGCUGGGCAUGGUGGUACAUAUCUGUAGUCCCAGCUACAUGGGAGGCUGAGGCAAGAAAACUACUUGAACUGGGAGGUGGAGGUCACAGUCAGCUGAGAUUGUGCCACUGCUCUUCAGCCCGGGCAACGUAGCAAGACCUUGUCUGAAACAAGAACAACAACAGAUAACCAGAGCAUAGAAUACCCUAGGUAGCCUACUUUGAUCUACUCUCAUACCAUGCUUUCCUAUGUACCUUAUGAUAUAAUUACAGCAGACCACUGUACCUUUGUUAAGACCUUGAUUAAAAGUUGCCUCUCUGAUGCCUUCUCCAUUCUAACGAGCAUUACACACUUCCUCUUCCUUCCCCUGGGCCAUUUCACCCACUGCCUUCCUCUUUGGUGCCAUGUAUCACAUUAAUUUAUUUUUCUAUUUUUUCCCAAAGCCCAAUGAAGUUAAACAGUGAUUUCAGUUUUCAUAUAUAUGUGGUAAUGUAUUUUAUGUUUCAUCUUUUAAUUUUUAAUUUUUGUGGGUACACAGUAGGUAUGUAUACUCAGAGGAUACAUGAGACAUUUUGAUACAGACAUCACAUAAUUUAUGACCAUCCAUUUAGAAGCCUGUUUUGCUAGCUUACGAGGCUUGGUUACCUCAGGGCAGGGCUUGUACACCUGCAUAUCUUCAUGUCCACAGAAUAAUCCUCCAACACAGCCAGUAUGAGAUGAGUAUAUGUUGAAUG